AGUAAAACAGUGCCAUAGAGAGAGUUCCGUUACAAGUUAAAAGCAUUGAAGGCCAUUUUCAUUUCUGCAGGCUUCGAGAUUACGGCUACUGAUUUGACAUCUACCAGGGGAGCAACGCCAGCCGCAUUUACUUACUAUAAAGGAAGGAAGUCGUGCAUUAACAAAAAAAGACACCAUAAACUACUUUGAGUUGGAUGAACACCUCUAACCAUCUACAACCGCUAGUCUAUCCUUGACUUUUCUCACGAGCGUUGCUCUGCAUUCCAUGAAAGGCCAGUGGAGUACGGCAAAGGGUCAGGUAACAACAGAGCCAUGGAUGCCUUCAACCUGGUGGAAGCACUGGUAGAUGAAGUGGUGAAGACCUGUGCUGUCGCCUUUGUGUGAGUGGGAGCCAAGGUCUGGCUCAACAGCUCCAUGUAGGAUCUGGCUGUUUACCUCGACCUGAUGGAGUCCAGAUGGGUUUUCUCCAUAACAGAUUUGCUGAGUCUGGACCACCAAUCCCUGCAGCCUGGCAGUGAACGGCAACUGUGAUUGGGGGCCUGUUCCAGCCACUCGAGGCAAGAAGAGUGCAAGUGUGGUGCAGGGCACGUACAGAUGAGCAGCCAUUUGUCAACACACCCGCAGCUAAGGACAAUUAACAUCACCACUUUUAACCUGCGAGAACACGACUGGCCUACAGGGAACCCAAAAAGGCGUGUGGAGAACAAGCUCCAUGGAGGAAGGACCCUUUAUUUUAUAUAUAUAUAUAUAUAUAUAUAUAAUGAACACUUUACUUAAAGCUUAAAGAGCUCCUCUAUCAUGUAUUGCUAGUACAUCUAAUAGACAUUAUAAUGCAUUCAUAAAGCUUUAUAGCUGUAAUUCAUACGGUUUAUAGGAAAAAAUUAUUCUCAAAUGUAUUCCGUUUUUUUUUCUCGUAUUAAAUAUCGAUAUUUAUGCCCAGAAUCUUUUUUUUUCCACAUAUCGGCAAGACGCGAUGUCAUAUCCAUUUCCUGGUAAACAGUUGGGAAGCUGAGCUAAAGCGACUUUCCAACACAACAGAGUAGCUGAUCAAACACACAAGUUUAAUACCUAAUUUAAUAACUUUAAUUUUCAAACGCCAACUAGUGUCGAACAGAGACCAAGGACCUGUCACUCCACAGUGCAUUUCGCGAGCCCA